CCUACGGGUGGCAGCAGUGAGGAAUAUUGGUCAAUGGACGCAAGUCUGAACCAGCCAUGCCGCGUGCAGGAAGACGGCUCUAUGAGUUGUAAACUGCUUUUGUACGAGGGUAAACGCAGAUACGUGUAUCUGUCUGCAAGUCUCGUAAGAAUAAGGAUCGGCUAACUCCGUGCCAGCAGCCGCGGUAAUACGGAGGAUUCAAGCGUUAUCCGGAUUUAUUGGGUUUAAAGGGUGCGUAGGCGGUCGGAUAAGUUAGAGGUGAAAUCCCGAGGCUCAACUUCGGAAUUGCCUCUGAUACUGUUCGGCUAGAGAGAAGUUGCGGUAGGCGGAAUGUAUGGUGUAGCGGUGAAAUGCUUAGAGAUGAUACAGAACACCGAUUGCGAAGGCAGCUUACCAGGCUACUUAUGACGUUGAGGCACGAAAGCGUGGGGAGCAAACAGGAUUAGAUACCCGUGGAGUC
rnacentral:rRNA from 1 species